GGUUCCAUGGUAUAAUGUUGAUCACAUCUGUUUUACAUGCAGAAGGUCCUAGGUUCAAGUCCCAGUGGAACCA
rfam:Cricetulus griseus cell line CHO-K1, whole genome shotgun sequence.